rnacentral:rRNA from 1 species
GACGAACGCUGGCGGCGCGCUUAACACAUGCAAGUCGAACGGUGAACGGGGCUUCGGCCCCCGGAUCAGUGGCGAACGGGUGCGUAACACGUGGGCAACCUGCCCCUCACUCUGGGAUAACCCCGGGAAACCGGAGCUAAUACCGGAUACUCCGAACGGACCACAUGGUCCGAUCGGGAAAGGUCCGCCGGUGAGGGAUGGGCCCGCGGCCUAUCAGCUUGUUGGUGAGGUAACGGCUCACCAAGGCGACGACGGGUAGCUGGUCUGAGAGGACGACCAGCCACACUGGGACUGAGAUACGGCCCAGACUCCUACGGGAGGCAGCAGUGGGGAAUCUUGCGCAAUGGGCGAAAGCCUGACGCAGCGACGCCGCGUGGGGGACGAAGGCCCUCGGGUUGUAAACCCCUUUCGGCAGGGACGAAGCGGUUCCGUGACGGUACCUGCAGAAGAAGCCUCGGCUAACUACGUGCCAGCAGCCGCAGUAAGAC